UCUAUCUGCAGUGUAGACUAUAUCUAUAGCAAAAGUAGAUGCAGCAUAUUGGGUCUUGAAAUAUCCACAAGAAUCCAAAGAAAUAGAAUAUUCAUGAUGUUUUAUAAGUUGUGCAGA